rnacentral:rRNA from 1 species
UACGUAGGGACCAAGCGUUGUUCGGAUUUACUGGGCGUAAAGGGCGCGUAGGCGGCGUGGUAAGUCACUUGUGAAAUCUCUGAGCUUAACUCAGAACGGCCAAGUGAUACUGCUGUGCUAGAGUGCAGAAGGGGCAAUCGGAAUUCUUGGUGUAGCGGUGAAAUGCGUAGAUAUCAAGAGGAACACCUGAGGUGAAGACGGGUUGCUGGGCUGACACUGACGCUGAUGCGCGAAAGCCAGGGGGGCAAACGGG